UGUUCUGGGGCCCAGGCAGCGCAGGGACCUUUACAAGGAUUCUGCUCUCUGAAGCCAAGAGCAGGAAUCUCAUAAAUUCAAGGAGACUGCCAGCCCCACGUGGCUUUCCGGCUGUGUAGCACACAGGCAAAGUUAUCUGCUGUGAUCUGUCCUGAUCCCUGAUAUCGUGGCAUCCCAGAGCUGAGGAAAAGUUACAACGGGAUUGAAGCCAGUGCACGCACAGAGGAAUGACAAGAUGGGGGCACCAAGGCCUGAAUCAGGAUGGGGAAAAAAUGCAAAUUCUUCACUAAAUCCCCACAAGACGUUGCAGGAAAGAAAAUCAUUGCUACUCCUGUAUAGGAAAAGUUGCUUGAAGCCGUAGGACAAGUUCAAAACAAAUUCUGAAAACAGUUGUGCUCAGCAUCAGGGCUGUGAAAGAAGCUACAGGGAACCCAGGGCUGAAGGGUAAUAGCAAGGGACUAUUAAUAACAGGAGGGAUCAAUGGGAUGAACGUGCCGUGGAGUGUUUGAUGCAUUAUCGUGUCAAACGGCAGCCACAACAUCACAGUAAUCCUAUAAAGUGCUGGAGUCUGGGGUAUUCCAGUGGAAUCCCCCCGAACCUCUUCGUCACUGCUUAUGAACCAGAAAGAGCUGGACACGCGCUUGGCCUUGGAGGAAUUACAGCACUGGGUCACUCGGGUGGAAGUUCCUGCAGAGACUCGGUGCCAACACGACGCUGCCCUGAUCUGGCAAAAGGGAUUUACAGCACUGCUCUCUGCCUGACUCGGGAUGAUGGGUGGCCCAGGAACGAGCAAUCCACAUCCCAGGACUGGGCUCCAUGGAAUGGACAGAUGUUGGGCAAGGAAGCAGCAGCCCUGGGAUGAGAAAUGCCCAGAUGUCCAUGGGUCAAGAUUCCAUAGGGAUAUUUCAGCUCGAUUCUCGACAUAAUCCGUAUGCAGGAGGUCUCCUUGACUCAAAGAUGUGUUGUAGGCAGGCAGAGGAAUUGCCUUCUCAUGCCCUUUACACAGUCUUGUUUCUGUUCAGUCUGAGGAGGAAGGCCUUGGUCCAAGAAUAUUGAAACUUGAUUUAUUCACACAGAGGACAAUGGAACUGAUUCCAUCCUGAAGGACUCUUUUGCCUAAAAUUGCUGUUUCACAGCUUCCCUUGAGCAGGAGUAGGAGCUCUCCAGGAUUCCUCUAUCAGUGUGAACGUGUCUGAUCCAUUUCAUCAGGGAAGGUGCUCCCUGUCUGUCAGGCCAGAGGACAGUGUGUAAAAACCUUUGUGGAAGGGUAAAACCUCGACAGUCCACAGGUGUUCUGGUUUAUUACUGACACUUGCAACUGCAAAUGAGAAUAUAGGAAAUUUCAUAGUGCUUUCACUGUGAGACUAUCCCAGCAGUGGUUUAUAAACAAGGAGAUAAGCAGCUAAGUACCACUAAUGACGAGGAGUUAAGAGAUAUUUCCUGGUUGUCCGGAUGGAAAUAGCUUCCAACUUCCUUUUUUUCCCCCUCUACCUCCCAGACCAGCUGGGAAAGUUUCUGUUUCCUAGAUUCAAGGUGCGACUGUGCACCUCCUCGAUUUUUGGGGUGAAAAAAAAUGGA